rnacentral:rRNA from 1 species
AACGAACGCUGGCGGCAUGCCUAACACAUGCAAGUCGAACGAGACCUUCGGGUCUAGUGGCGCACGGGUGCGUAACGCGUGGGAACCUGCCCUUAGGUUCGGAAUAACUCCCCGAAAGGGGUGCUAAUACCGGAUAAUGUCUUCGGACCAAAGAUUUAUCGCCUUUGGAUGGGCCCGCGUUGGAUUAGCUAGUUGGUAGGGUAAAAGCCUACCAAGGCGACGAUCCAUAGCUGGUCUGAGAGGAUGAUCAGCCACACUGGAACUGAGACACGGCCCAGACUCAUACGGGAGGCAGAAGGAGGGAAUAUUGGACAAUGGGCGAAAGCCUGAGCCACCAAUGCCGCGUGAGUGAUGAAGGCCUUAGGGUUGUAAAGCUCUUUUACCCGGGAUGAUAAUGACAGUACCGGGAGAAUAAGCUCCGGCUAACUCCGUG